AUGCAGCGACAGCCGCGAUGGGUGAAGAAGUCAUUUACGGUAUGUAAAAGCCCUAUCAGCAGGGAAGAAGAUGACGGUACCUGCACAAGAAGCCCCGGCUAACUACGUGCCAGCAGCCGCGGUAAUACGUAGGGGGCAAGCGUUAUCCGGAUUUACUGGGUGUAAAGGGAGCGCAGACGGAAUGGCAAGUCAGAUGUGAAAGGCAUGGGCUCAACCCGUGGACUGCAUUUGAAACUGUCAAUCUUGAGUAUCGGAGGGGCAAGCGGAAUUCCUGGUGUAGAGGUGAAAUUCGUAGAUAUCAGGAGGAACACCGGUGGCGAAGGCGGCUUGCUGGACGAUAACUGACGUUGAGGCUCGAAAGCGUGGGGAGCAAACAGGAUUAGAUACCCUGGUAGUCCACGCAGUAAACGAUGAAUACUAGGUGCUGGGGUCCACAGGGCUUCGGUGCCGCCGCUAACGCAUUAAGUAUUCCACCUGGGGAGUACGUUCGCAAGAAUGAAACUCAAAGGAAUUGACGGGGACCCGCACAUAGCUGGUGGAGCAUGUGGUUUAAUUCGAAGCAACGCGAAGAACCUUACCAAGUCUUGACAUCUCCCUGAAAACUUGUGGAAACACUAGUCCCUCUUCGGAGCAGGGAUGACAGGUGGUGCAUGGUUGUCGUCAGCUCGUGUCGUGAGAUGUUGGGUUAAGUCCCGCAACGAGCGCAACCCUUAUGCUUAGUAGCCAGCGGUUUGGCCGGGCACUCUAGGCAGACUGCCAGGAAUAACCUGGAGGAAGGUGGGGAUGACGUCAAAUCAUCAUGCCCCUUAUGAUUUGGGCUACACACGUGCUACAAUGGCGCUUAACAGAGGGAAGCGAACCCGCGAGGGAGAGCAAAUCCCAAAAACAGCGUCCCAGUUCGGACUGCAGUCUGCAACCCGACUGCACGAAGCUGGAAUCGCUAGUAAUCGCGAAUCAGAAUGUCGCGGUGAAUACGUUCCCGGGUCUUGUACACACCGCCCGUCACACCAUGGGAGUCGAUAACGCCCGAAGCCGGUAUCCUAACUGCAAAGAUGGGAGCCGUCGAAGGCGGGAUUG
rnacentral:rRNA from 1 species